UACAGAGGGUGCGAGCGUUAAUCGGAAUUACUGGGCGUAAAGGGUGCGUAGGUGGUUGGGUAAGUCUGAUGUGAAAUCUCCGAGCUUAACUCGGAAAUGGCAUUGGAUACUAUUCGGCUAGAGGGUUUGAGGGGGGACUGGAAUACUUGGUGUAGCAGUGAAAUGCGUAGAUAUCAAGUGGAACACCAGUGGCGAAGGCGAGUCCCUGGAAAACUCCUGACACUGAGGCACGAAAGCUAGGGGAGCAAACAGG
rnacentral:rRNA from 1 species